rnacentral:rRNA from 1 species
GAUGAACGCUGGCGGCGUGCCUAAUACAUGCGAGUCGAGCGAAUGGAUUAAGAGCUUGCUCUUAUGAAGUUAGCGGCGGACGGGUGAGUAACACGUGGGUAACCUGCCCAUAAGACUGGGAUAACUCCGGGAAACCGGGGCUAUACCGGAUAACAUUUUGAACCGCAUGGUUCGAAAUUGAAAGGCGGCUUCGGCUGUCACUUAUGGAUGGACACGCGUCGCAUUAGCUAGUUGGGGAGGUAACGGCUCACCAAGGCAACGAUGCGUAGCCGACCGGGGAGGGUGAUCGGCCACACUGGGACUGGGACACGGCCCAGACGCCUACGGGAGGCAGCAGUAGGGAAUCUUCCGCAAUGGACGAAAGUCUGACGGAGCAACGCCGCGUGAGUGAUGAAGGCUUUCGGGUCGUAAAACUCUGUUGAUAGGGAAGAACAAGUGCUAGUUGAAUAAGCUGGCACCUUGACGGUACCUAACCAGAAAGCCACGGCUAACUACGUGCCAGCCGCCGCAGUAA